AGCGAACGCUGGCGGCAGGCCUAACACAUGCAAGUCGAACGGAGUCUUCGGACUUAGUGGCGGACGGGUGAGUAACACGUGGGAACGUGCCUUUAGGUUCGGAAUAACUCAGGGAAACUUGUGCUAAUACCGAAUGUGCCCUUCGGGGGAAAGAUUUAUCGCCUUUAGAGCGGCCCGCGUCUGAUUAGCUAGUUGGUGAGGUAAAGGCUCACCAAGGCGACGAUCAGUAGCUGGUCUGAGAGGAUGAUCAGCCACAUUGGGACUGAGACGCGGCCCAAACUCCUACGGGAGGCAGCAGUGGGGAAUCUUGCGCAAUGGGCGAAAGCCUGACGCAGCCAUGCCGCGUGAAUGAUGAAGGUCUUAGGAUUGUAAAAUUCUUUCACCGGGGACGAUAAUGACGGUACCCGGAGAAGAAGCCUCGGCUAACUUCGUGCCAGCCGCCGCCGUAA
rnacentral:rRNA from 1 species